AGAUUGAACGCUGGCGGCAUGCUUUACACAUGCAAGUCGAGCGGCAGCGCGGGGGCAACCCUGGCGGCGAGCGGCGAACGGGUGAGUAAUAGAUAGGAACGUAUCCGGGAGUGGGGGAUAACUAGCCGAAAGGUUAGCUAAUACCGCAUAUUCUCCGAGGAGGAAACGCGGGGGACCAGUAAUGGCCCUACGCGCUCGCGGAGUGGCCCUAUCUCCGAUUUAGCUAGUUGGUGAGGUAAAGCUACGACCAAGCGACGAUCGGUAGCGUGUCGUGAGAGGAUGAAUCACGCCAACACGUGGGACUGGAGACCUACGGCCCAGUACCUCGUACCGGGAGCCAAGGCAGGUAGGGGUAAUUUAGGACGAGGCGGGGACC
rnacentral:rRNA from 1 species